rnacentral:rRNA from 1 species
AGCGCAGGUGGUUGUAUAAGUCUGAAGUAAAAGGCAGUGGCUCAACCAUUGUGUGCUUUGGAAACUGUACAACUUGAGUGCAGAAGGGGAGAGUGGAAUUCCAUGUGUAGCGGUGAAAUGCGUAGAUAUAUGGAGGAACACCGGUGGCGAAAGCGGCUCUCUGGUCUGUAACUGACACUGAGGCUCGAAAGCGUGGGGGAGCAAACA